rnacentral:sRNA from 1 species
UUUUAAGAUUUUUUUGAACCUUGCUUUUACAUAUCCUAGAAUAAAUAGCAUUGAUAGAAAAAAAGAAUGGAAAGACCAGAGAUUACUAGGGGAAUUUUUUUUCUUUAUUAACAGAUAAGAAUUCUGACUUUUCUUUUUUUCCAUUUGUGUAUUAGGUGGUUGUGAAUGCCCUUUUAGGAGCAAUUCCAUCCAUCAUGAAUGUGCUUCUGGUUUGUCUUAUAUUCUGGCUAAUUUUCAGCAUCAUGGGCGUAAAUUUGUUUGCUGGCAAAUUCUACCACUGUAUUAACACCACAACUGGUGACAGGUUUGACAUCGAAGACGUGAAUAAUCAUACUGAUUGCCUAAAACUAAUAGAAAGAAAUGAGACUGCUCGAUGGAAAAAUGUGAAAGUAAACUUUGAUAAUGUAGGAUUUGGGUAUCUCUCUUUGCUUCAAGUUGCCACAUUCAAAGGAUGGAUGGAUAUAAUGUAUGCAGCAGUUGAUUCCAGAAAUGUGGAACUCCAGCCUAAGUAUGAAGAAAGUCUGUACAUGUAUCUUUACUUU